CAGGAAGAUAUAAUGUCGCGACAACUUAUUAUUAUUAAUAUAUUACUGGUACAAUGACAAUAUAACUACAUUGCUGUGCAUUGUUACUCCAUUCUACAUUUUACGCGAUACGAAUAUUUUUACAAUUUGAUAUGUCAUAUUUAACACACUGAAAAUUUUUCUAAGAUACUUUCAAGUGGAAAGCAGCCAACGCUCUCAUGCAGAUCUUCUGCCUCGUCAUAUGGCCGUCCCGUGAUUCUCGUAAAACUCAGAGAGUGGGAAGUUGCGGGUGGAUUCCCUCGAUGAUGCGGAAAUUUCUUAAGGCUUCGCGUGAAGGCAAAAAAACGUCUAGCAAAGUCUUCGUAAUACGUUGCUUUACGGGAGGCCCCACAAUUGUGCAAUCCAAUCGCUAUGUUGUUAUGACGAUGAUGAUACAAGGCCAAACGUCCUAAAUCGCACAACACCUGCUUAUAAGGUCACUGUGCUCUCGAGAGAUAUUAUCGAACCGUUUGUGAUUAUUUUUAGCUGAUGCGUCGUAUUUGUGUCAUACAUAAUAGAGUGUUGUGUUGAUUACAUAGUAAAUAUGAGUAAUGGGAAUAGCGCAAGAGAAGUGGUAAUUAACCGAGAGAAACC